ACCAUGAAGGUGCAAGCAGUGGCACGAGCACGAGGGGUAGUAUGGAAACACAGGCAUGAUGAGUGGCAUCGGAGCCAGCUGUGAAAGAAGACCAUGAAGGUGCAAGCAGUGGCACGAGCACGAGGGGUAGUAUGGAAACACUGGCAUGAUGAGCGGCAUCGGAGCCAGCUGUGGAAGAAGACGACGACAAAGGUGCGAGCAGUGGCACGAGCACGAGGGGCAGUAUGGGAACGCUGGCAUGAUGAGUGGCAUCGGAGCCAGCUGUGAAAGAAGACCAUGAAGGUGCAAGCAGUGGCACGAGCACGAGGGGUAGUAUGGAAACACUGGCAUGACGAGCGGCAUCGGAGCCAGCUGUGGAAGAAGACGACAGCAAAGGUGCGAGCAGUGGCACGAUGUCAAAGGGUAGUAUGGGAAUGCUGGCAUGAUGAGUGGCAUCGGAGCCAGCUGUGAAAGAAGACCAUGAAGGUGCGAGCAGUGGCACGAGCACGAGGGGCAGUAUGGGAACGCUGGCAUGAUGAGUGGCAUCGGAGCCAGCUGUGAAAGAAGACCACGAAGGUGCAAGCAGUGGCACGAGCACGAGGGGUAGUAUGGAAACACUGGCAUGACGAGCGGCAUCGGAGCCAGCUGUGGAAGAAGACGACAGCAAAGGUGCGAGCAGUGGCACGAUGUCAAAGGGUAGUAUGGGAAUGCUGGCAUGAUGAGUGGCAUCGGAGCCAGCUGUGAAAGAAGACCAUGAAGGUGCAAGCAGUGGCACGAGCAUGAGGGGUAGUAUGGAAACACUGGCAUGAUGAGCAGCAUCGGAGCCAGCUGUGGAAGAA
rnacentral:lncRNA from 1 species